rnacentral:rRNA from 1 species
GACGAACGCUGGCGGCGUGCUUAACACAUGCAAGUCGAGCGGUAAGGCUCCUUCGGGAGUACACGAGCGGCGAACGGGUGAGUAACACGUGAGCAAUCUGCCCUUCACACGGGGAUAACCCUCGGAAACGAGAGCUAAUACCCGAUACGACCACUUCAGGCAUCUGAUGGUGGUGGAAAGUUCCGGCGGUGAAGGAUGAGCUCGCGGCCUAUCAGCUUGUUGGUGGGGUAACGGCCCACCAAGGCAACGACGGGUAGCCGGCCUGAGAGGGUGACCGGCCACACUGGGACUGAGACACGGCCCAGACUCCUACGGGAGGCAGCAGUGGGGAAUAUUGGACAAUGGGCGAAAGCCUGAUCCAGCAACGCCGCGUGAGGGAUGACGGCCUUCGGGUUGUAAACCUCUUUCAGCAGGGACGAAGCGCAAGUGACGGUACCUGCAGAAGAAGCACCGGCCAACUACGUGCCAGCCGCCGCAGUAA